rnacentral:rRNA from 1 species
AUGAACGCUGGCGGCGUGCCUAAUCCCUGCAAGUCGAGCGAACAGACGAGGAGCUUGCUCCUUUGACGUUAGCGGCGGACGGGUGAGUAACACGUGGAUAACCUACCUAUAAGACUGGGAUAACUUCGGGAAACCGGAGCUAAUACCGGAUAACAUGUUGAACCGCAUGGUUCAACAGUGAAAGACGGUCUUGCUGUCACUUAUAGAUGGAUCCGCGCCGCAUUAGCUAGUUGGUAAGGUAACGGCUUACCAAGGCAACGAUGCGUAGCCGACCUGAGAGGGUGAUCGGCCACACUGGAACUGAGACACGGUCCAGACUCCUACGGGAGGCAGCAGUAGGGAAUCUUCCGCAAUGGGCGAAAGCCUGACGGAGCAACGCCGCGUGAGUGAAGAAGGUCUUCGGAUCGUAAAACUCUGUUAUUAGGGAAGAACAAAUGUGUAAGUAACUAUGCACGUCUUGACGGUACCUAAUCAGAAAGCCACGGCUAACUACGUG